rnacentral:rRNA from 2 species
UGCAAGUCGAACGGUGAAGCCAAGCUUGCUUGGUGGAUCAGUGGCGAACGGGUGAGUAACACGUGAGCAACCUGCCCUGGACUCUGGGAUAAGCGCUGGAAACGGCGUCUAAUACUGGAUAUGAGCUCUCAUCGCAUGGUGGGGGUUGGAAAGAUUUUUCGGUCUGGGAUGGGCUCGCGGCCUAUCAGCUUGUUGGUGAGGUAAUGGCUCACCAAGGCGUCGACGGGUAGCCGGCCUGAGAGGGUGACCGGCCACACUGGGACUGAGACACGGCCCAGACUCCUACGGGAGGCAGCAGUGGGGAAUAUUGCACAAUGGGCGGAAGCCUGAUGCAGCAACGCCGCGUGAGGGAUGACGGCCUUCGGGUUGUAAACCUCUUUUAGCAGGGAAGAAGCGAGAGUGACGGUACCUGCAGAAAAAGCGCCGGCUAACUACGUGCCAGCAGCCGCGGUAAUACGUAGGGCGCAAGCGUUAUCCGGAAUUAUUGGGCGUAAAGAGCUCGUAGGCGGUUUGUCGCGUCUGCUGUGAAAUCCCGAGGCUCAACCUCGGGCCUGCAGUGGGUACGGGCAGACUAGAGUGCGGUAGGGGAGAUUGGAAUUCCUGGUGUAGCGGUGGAAUGCGCAGAUAUCAGGAGGAACACCGAUGGCGAAGGCAGAUCUCUGGGCCGUAACUGACGCUGAGGAGCGAAAGGGUGGGGAGCAAACAGGCUUAGAUACCCUGGUAGUCCACCCCGUAAACGUUGGGAACUAGUUGUGGGGACCAUUCCACGGUUUCCGUGACGCAGCUAACGCAUUAAGUUCCCCGCCUGGGGAGUACGGCCGCAAGGCUAAAACUCAAAGGAAUUGACGGGGACCCGCACAAGCGGCGGAGCAUGCGGAUUAAUUCGAUGCAACGCGAAGAACCUUACCAAGGCUUGACAUACACCAGAACACCGUAGAAAUACGGGACUCUUUGGACACUGGUGAACAGGUGGUGCAUGGUUGUCGUCAGCUCGUGUCGUGAGAUGUUGGGUUAAGUCCCGCAACGAGCGCAACCCUCGUUCUAUGUUGCCAGCACGUAAUGGUGGGAACUCAUGGGAUACUGCCGGGGUCAACUCGGAGGAAGGUGGGGAUGACGUCAAAUCAUCAUGCCCCUUAUGUCUUGGGCUUCACGCAUGCUACAAUGGCCGGUACAAAGGGCUGCAAUACCGUGAGGUGGAGCGAAUCCCAAAAAGCCGGUCCCAGUUCGGAUUGAGGUCUGCAACUCGACCUCAUGAAGUCGGAGUCGCUAGUAAUCGCAGAUCAGCAACGCUGCGGUGAAUACGUUCCCGGGUCUUGUACACACCGCCCGUCAAGUCAUGAAAGUCGGUAACACCUGAAGCCGGUGGCCCAACCCUUGUGGAGGGAGCCGUCGAA